UACGUAGGGUGCGAGCGUUAAUCGGAAUUACUGGGCGUAAAGUGUGCGCAGGCGGCGUCGCAAGUCGAGUGUGAAAGCCCCGAGCUUAACUUGGGAAUUGCGCUCGAAACUACGAUGCUGGAGUGUGGCAGAGGAAGGUGGAAUUCCACGUGUAGCGGUGAAAUGCGUAGAGAUCCGGAGGAACACCAGUGGCGAAGGCGACACGCUGGGCCGUACCUGACACUGAUGCGCGACAGCAUGGGGAGCAAACAGG
rnacentral:rRNA from 1 species